rnacentral:rRNA from 1 species
UACGUAGGGUGCAAGCGUUGUCCGGAAUUAUUGGGCGUAAAGAGCUCGUAGGCGGUCUGUCACGUCGGCUGUGAAAACCUGGGGCUCAACCCCGGGCCUGCAGCCGAUACGGGCAGACUAGAGUUCGGCAGGGGAGACUGGAAUUCCUGGUGUAGCGGUGAAAUGCGCAGAGAUCGGGAGGAACACCCGUAGCGAAGGCGGCGCUCUGGGCCGGUACUGACGCUGAGGAGCGAAAGCGUGGGGAGCAAACAGG